GACGAACGCUGGCGGCGUGCUUAACACAUGCAAGUCGAGCGGUAAGGCCCUUUCGGGGGUACACGAGCGGCGAACGGGUGAGUAACACGUGGGUGACCUGCCCUUAGCUCUGGGAUAAGCCUGGGAAACUGGGUCUAAUACCGGAUAUGACUCCAUGACGCAUGUUGUGGGGUGGAAAGCCUUGUGCGGCUAGGGAUGGGCCCGCGGCCUAUCAGCUUGUUGGUGGGGUGAUGGCCACCAAGGCGACGAUGGGUAGCCGGCCUGAGAGGGCGACCGGCCACACUGGGACUGAGACACGGCCCAGACUCCUACGGGAGGCAGCAGUGGGGAAUCUUGCGCAAUGGGCGAAAGCCUGACGCAGCGACGCCGCGUGGGGAUGACGGCCU
rnacentral:rRNA from 1 species